rnacentral:rRNA from 1 species
UUUGGCUGUUCGCCAAUUAAAGCGGUACGCGAGCUGGGUUUAGAACGUCGUGAGACAGUUCGGUCCCUAUCUGCCGUGGGCGUAGGAUAUUUGAGAGGAGCUGCCCGUAGUACGAGAGGACCCGGGUGGACGAACCUCUAGUGUGCCAGUUGUCACGCCAGUGGCAUUGCUGGGUAGCUACGUUCGGAUUGGAUAAGCGCUGAAAGCAUCUAAGUGCGAAGCCAACCUCAAGACUAGAUAUCCCUGCCGUAAGGCACUAAAGGCGCCACGGAGACUACGUGGUUGAUAGGCCAGGAGUGUAAAGGUGGCAACACCUACGAGAAAUUGGUUCAGCUUGCUGGAUCGAAGACUCAAGCUUACUGGUACUAAUCCGCCGUGAGACUUAGCUGA